rnacentral:tRNA from 1 species
GUUAAUGUAGCUUAAAUACAUAAAGCAAGGCACUGAAAAUGCCUAGAUGAGUCAUCAAACUCCAUAAACA